rnacentral:rRNA from 1 species
AUGUGGUUGAUGUUGUCCUGCCUUUUUCCUAUUGGUUGUAUAUAUGUAUGUAGUUCAGGGCCUAGCUAUACACUACUUGUUGGCUCUAGUCCAGAAGGCAACAACGGAGCUACUAUGCCUGGAGCAGAUGAUGCGUUUCCGGCAGAGUCGAGGACGACGGUGUUCUUUGGGGCUGUGACAUCUAAGUCAGAGCCGCUGACCUUUCAAGAGUCCCUCAGAUUUGUCAAGAAAGUGAAGGCUCGCAACUACAUGCUGUACCUGUCGCUGUUCGACAUCCUCGGCAGGACGGAGCUGUCCCAGCUAGAGGCCUACCAAACGCUGCAGCUGCUGUUCCGCGACCACCCGGACCUGCACGAAGGGCUGGAGAAGUUCAGGCCCCCGAUGCCCGCCAAGCACGCCGCGGCGAACAGCAACCUCUGGCCGUGGGUGUUUGCGUGCGCCGCCGUCCCGCUGGUUGCGAUGAGCCUGAUCCCAGCGCUGGGGAACCCGGUGCUGUGGCUCGUGCAGCAGACGCUCGGCGAGAAGAUGAGGGCGGCGUGA